rnacentral:rRNA from 1 species
GACGAACGCUGGCGGCGUGCUUAACACAUGCAAGUCGAACGAAGUGGCGAACGGGUGAGUAACGCGUAAUCAACCUGCCCUUCAGAGGGGGACACCAGUUGGAAACGACUGCUAAUACCGCAUACUGAAGGAGGGGAUUGCGUCUGAUGAGCUCGGUGGAGGGGUAAUGGCCCACCAAGGCGAUGAUCAGUAGCCGGGCUGGAGGGAUGAACGGCCACAUUGGGAAUGGUGCACGGCCCAGACUCCUACGGGAGGCAGGAGGGGGGAAUCUGCCGCAAUGGACGAAAGUCUGACGGAGCAACGCCGCGUGAGUGAUGACGGCCUUCGGGUGGUAAAGCUCUGUUAAUCGGGACGCGGUACCGGAAUAGAAAGCCACGGCUAACUACGUGCCAGCAGCCGCGGUAAUUC